CAGUAGCCGCGGGAAUACAGAGGGUGCUAGCGUUAAUCGGAUUUACUGGGCGUAAAGCGUGCGUAGGCGGCUUCUUAAGUCGGAUGUGAAAUCCCUGAGCUUAACUUAGGAAUUGCAUUCGAUACUGGGAAGCUAGAGUAUGGGAGAGGAUGGUAGAAUUCCAGGUGUAGAGGUGAAAUGCGUAGAGAUCUGGAGGAAUACCGAUGGCGAAGGCAGCCAUCUGGCCUAAUACUGACGCUGAGGUACGAAAGCAUGGGGAGCAAACAGGAUUAGAUACCCCGGUAGUCCCUGUCUCUUAUAC
rnacentral:rRNA from 1 species